rnacentral:lncRNA from 1 species
UGUGCAUGUGGCUGCUGGCGCAUGGCCCGCGAAGGCGAUCGCGAGCGAACGCCUGCCUAUGCUGAGGAAUGGCUUCCAUCACAUCUGCUGCAUUUCUGGAUCAUAUUGUCACACUGAUUAAUGUAAUUUCCACAGGACUAGCUCCUACCCGAGCAGCUAGAGUACUUCUCUGAGAUGUGCCACCGUCGCCUGUAGUAACAGUGGGUUUGGUAGCCCUUAAGGCAGGCACAGAUGGUACUGUAGCCAGAGGUGGCCUAGCAACAUAGAUGCUUGCAACAAUAACAGCAACAUGUAGAGCAGACACUAGGGAGGACAGGAGGGCAGCAUACUGGGAAGAUGUGGCUGAGAAACCUAGAGAAGAGGUUAAGACUCAGACAAAUGCUAUAACAAGUUGAUCAGAUACUGUUGGUCAACUAUGGGUUGAUUCUUGAUGUGCCUUAUCUGCCCCGAGUUGAAGUGCACCCCCGAACGGCAAAAGAAAGACAGAUUAUGGUCUCCUCUGAAAAAGACGUGGUUCCAUCUCUAGCAUCAUCCUGACCUCAGCCAAUUACCAGGGUGAGAAAGAAGGGACUCAUGCAGACAGAGGUCAGACCGAUUAUAGACAGUGUCUGAUGCAGGGAGUUCUAUCCUCAAGAAAUCAGCCAGUCGUCAUUGUUGAAGGAAAGUAAGAACUCAAAAACUGAUACUUCUUCAGCUAUAAAGAAAAUUGUAAUAGAACGUAUUUUGUUCAAAGAUCUGUGCGUGGUAGACCUGUGGUUAAAAAUGCCCCUGUUGUCACUAUUUACAUAGCCCAUAAUGCUUCCACAAUACCUGAGGGUACUGUUGAUUUGAUGUCAGCCGUGGGCAAACACACUUCACAGAGAAAGAAUUGAAGUGGAAAGGCCAUGAAUUAUUGUACAUUACUCCAACUGAAAUAAAUAGCACAUGCGACACAAAGCAAAAGAUUCUGUAUAUUUGAAGAAAUUCUAUUGCAUUGAUGAUGGCUGACUGCCAAGAUGUUUGUCCUGAUAUUUUAAGCUUGAAGCUAUGAUGUGUCAAAAACUCUGAAAUGCCUUGUAAUGUACCGAUAUAUGAACAACUCAAACCUGAGCUGUAAACCAGUAUCUUGUCACUUUGUUAGAAUUUCCCUUGGAAUUAGUGACUUUAUUGUGAAAUUACUGAGGGUCAAUGUCUGUUUGUGUUGUGGUCAAGUAUAAUGUGUUUGAAUCUGCAGGGAUCUUUGUUUUUGUUUUUACACUGUGCAUUUAGAUAUAUAAUGAAUUACAAAUCUGUUAUUCCGCAGUGGUUUUUACAUUUACAUUGACCUGAGGCAGUAUACAAAUAAUGAAUGUUUAUAAGUACAAUGGUAAGAAUAUUUUCACGAGUGUCAUAUUUUCAAGUUCUGCUGUGGAUCACUGUUCUACCUCGUCUAAACUCGUACCAGUGCACCUCGCGUAAGACUCUAGUCGACAUACAGCAUACUGACUUUGUUUCUUCAUGUUCUUUGCGUCUGCUCUGUCAAGUAAUUCGGCAAUUUCCUCGUUAUUCAGCAACACGAAAUUGCUUGAACCCGCCGCCAUUUUAGGGAUCAUGGGCAUAACACGCUCCGUCUGUUGACCAAUUAUGUAUUGAAGCCCUUUGCGUGCAAUAGAUCAAACUGCAUAUAACCAAAAAUGCAUGGUGUGUACAACAAACUUCAACGUUUAUAACGAAGCCAUAAAAAAGUCUAUGAAAUAUCAAGGGACCUACAAUCCUCCAAUCAAAUGACAAGGAUCUACUCAGGUGUUAUAUAAAAGCUAAUAGUAGUCAAGAAUGUAAAAGGAUAACUUUAUUCAUUCUGUCCAAUUUUCUUACUGGAAAAUGUUGGCAUUACUUGUGUAUACAGUAGAAGUGAUAUGCCUUUUAAAACAAGACCCUAUAUGAACAUGUAUGCUUGUGUACACACAUGUACACAUUCAUGUAUACAUGUACAGGUUAACAUUCCUGUAACUUGGUGAUAAGAGAUGGAUCCAUUCAUGGGAUAUGAUAGUACCAGUAAUUUGUCAUCUCCUAAAUUUCAAACCAUGAAAAUCAUGCACGUUAUUGAAAUCCAGAAUUUUGUUUGCAUGCUUCCAAUGGCAUUUAGGUUACUACCGGGCAUGUUCACUUGUGUGCAGAACUUUAGAAUUCCAUUUAGUCCUGAAGAGUCUUGAGCAUUCAAUGCACAUGUACAUGUAUGUACACACAAGCUGACAUACCGGUAUCUUAGGAAUUUAAGACAACACUGCGCUAAUAGGAUGGUUUUUCUUCCUCCUCUCUCUUCAGUAUUUUACCUUUUGUAAAUGUAUUUGAAAAUUUCCUUGACAAAGCAAAUGGAACGUCUUGGCUCAUCUUCUCAAGGCCCUCUUUUGAGUUCUGUUGUGGCCUUGCAGGUGUUGUCCUGAUGAAAGGAAGCCUGUCAGCUUUUUCACUUUCUCCACAAAGUUGGCCAUUACAGCUACAUGUACAAAUGGCCACAGCCUGGUGCGUUUUCUUCUUGAGUGGAAUCCUGUCAGCUGUCUUCUAUGUGUAGUCAUUUUCCUUCUACAAGUCAGCCAUGAUAGCUGAGAGACUGAGAAUUGCUUCAGGUACAAAAAGUCUGCAGAAUUACGGCCGAUUAAUUUUGUAUGUCAUAUCCCCCAAUAGUACUCAGAACCAGUACAAAAGUAGACUUGUCACAGUCCAAAGUCAAUCCUAAAAUGUACAAUUACAAGGUACUAUGCAUCAUUACCAGCUGUGUUGGGGAAUAUUAAUGAGCCAAAGCAUGAUGUCAUCCAGGCAGAACAAUAGUGUCUCAAAAGUUCUUUGUAAACAACCACAUCACAAUUUCAUGUGCUUUAGUAAGUUUACUUCUACUUGAUAGUAAUCAGCCUGUUUUGAACAAAGUAAUAAAGACCAAUAUUUCUUCACAUCUUCA